rnacentral:rRNA from 1 species
UACGGAGGGUGCGAGCGUUGUCCGGAAUCAUUGGGCGUAAAGGGCGCGUAGGUGGCCCGGUCAGUCUUUGGUGAAAGCGCGGGGCUCAACCCUGCGUCGGCCAGGGAUACUGCCGCGGCUCGAGCACUGUAGAGGCAGGCGGAAUUCCGGGUGUAGCGGUGGAAUGCGUAGAGAUCCGGAAGAACACCGGUGGCGAAGGCGGCCUGCUGGGCAGUUUAGCUGACACUGAGGCGCGGACAGCGUGGGGAGCAACAGG